rnacentral:rRNA from 1 species
UACGUAGGGCGCAAGCGUUGUCCGGAAUUAUUGGGCGUAAAGAGCUCGUAGGUGGCUUGUCGCGUCUGCCGUGAAAGCCCGUGGCUUAACUACGGGUCUGCGGUGGAUACGGGCAGGCUAGAGGCUGGUAGGGGCAAGCGGAAUUCCUGGUGUAGCGGUGAAAUGCGCAGAUAUCAGGAGGAACACCGGUGGCGAAGGCGGGUCUCUGGGCCGAUACUGACGCUGAGGAGCGAAAGCGUGGGGAGCGAACAGG